rnacentral:rRNA from 1 species
UACGGGGGGGGCAAGCGUUGUUCGGAAUUACUGGGCGUAAAGGGCUCGUAGGCGGCCAACUAAGUCAGACGUGAAAUCCCUCGGCUUAACCGGGGAGCUGCGUCUGAUACUGGGUGGCUUGAAUCCGGGAGAGGGAUGCGGAAUUCCAGGUGUAGCGGUGAAAUGCGUAGAUAUCUGGAGGAACACCGGUGGCGAAGGCGGCAUCCUGGACCGGUAUUGACGCUGAGGAGCGAAAGCCAGGGGAGCAAACGGG